UGUAAAGGGUUUAACACCAAAAAAACAUGCAAGUCGUACGGUGAAGCCCAGCUUGCUGGGUGGAUCAGUGGCGAACCGGUGAGUAACACGUGAGCAACCUGCCCCUGACUCUGGGAUAAGCGCUGGAAACGGCGUCUAAUACUGGAUACGAGUAGCGACCGCAUGGUCAGCUACUGGAAAGAUUUAUUGGUUGGGGAUGGGCUCGCGGCCUAUCAGCUUGUUGGUGAGGUAAUGGCUCACCAAGGCGUCGACGGGUAGCCGGCCUGAGAGGGUGACCGGCCACACUGGGACUGAGACACGGCCCAGACUCCUACGGGAGGCAGCAGUGGGGAAUAUUGCACAAUGGGCGCAAGCCUGAUGCAGCAACGCCGCGUGAGGGAUGACGGCCUUCGGGUUGUAAACCUCUUUUAGCAGGGAAGAAGCGAAAGUGACGGUACCUGCAGAAAAAGCGCCGGCUAACUACGUGCCAGCAGCCGCGGUAAUACGUAGGGCGCAAGCGUUAUCCGGAAUUAUUGGGCGUAAAGAGCUCGUAGGCGGUUUGUCGCGUCUGCUGUGAAAUCCGGAGGCUCAACCUCCGGCCUGCAGUGGGUACGGGCAGACUAGAGUGCGGUAGGGGAGAUUGGAAUUCCUGGUGUAGCGGUGGAAUGCGCAGAUAUCAGGAGGAACACCGAUGGCGAAGGCAGAUCUCUGGGCCGUAACUGACGCUGAGGAGCGAAAGGGUGGGGAGCAAACAGGCUUAGAUACCCUGGUAGUCCACCCCGUAAACGUUGGGAACUAGUUGUGGGGUCCAUUCCACGGAUUCCGUGACGCAGCUAACGCAUUAAGUUCCCCGCCUGGGGAGUACGGCCGCAAGGCUAAAACUCAAAGGAAUUGACGGGGACCCGCACAAGCGGCGGAGCAUGCGGAUUAAUUCGAUGCAACGCGAAGAACCUUACCAAGGCUUGACAUAUACGAGAACGGGCCAGAAAUGGUCAACUCUUUGGACACUCGUAAACAGGUGGUGCAUGGUUGUCGUCAGCUCGUGUCGUGAGAUGUUGGGUUAAGUCCCGC
rnacentral:rRNA from 1 species